UACGUAGGGAGCGAGCGUUAUCCGGAAUUAUUGGGCGUAAAGGGUGCGUAGAUGGCAUAGUAAGUCUUUUGUAAAAAUGCUGGGCUCAACCCAGUAGGGCAAAAGAUACUGCAAAGCUAGAGUAUGACAGAGGCAAGUGGAACUAGAUGUGUAGCGGUAAAAUGCGUAAAUAUAUGUAAGAACACCAGUGGCGAAGGCGGCUUGCUGGGUCGAUACUGACAUUGAGGCACGAAAGCGUGGGGAGCAAACAGG
rnacentral:rRNA from 1 species